rnacentral:lncRNA from 1 species
UAUGUAGUUCAGUUCAGGCAUGGUGAUCCUCUUGCCUCAGCUUCCCGAGUGCUGGGAUGACAGGUGUGUGCCACCAUGCUUGGCUUAACCUUGUGUUUUCUUACUUUUCCAGCUAAAGCCAAAUUUGAAGAACUUGAUCUCUCCUGCUUACAGUGGUUAAAUUUUGGAAAUCUGGAAAUGAAGCUAUUGGAAUUUCAAGAAAGCUCCAUCUGAAAAAAUAAAUUCUAUGAACUGCAUGCAACACUUGAAAAGAGAGAGAAGAUAGAGUGUGAAGGGAUGACAAAGGAUAACACAGUUGGACACAAAAAUGUUUCGUGAAUAUGAGGCUAUACCACUCAGAGAAGAACCAAAGAGCAUGAAGUUCUUAGAACAUAAAGGGUUUUAAAGAAAACAGAAGAAGCUAGAACAAAAGAUUGGAAAGAAACAAGGUUCAGAACAUGGCUAAGGCAUGUAGCACUCACACCCUUAAUCCUAGCAUUGGACUGUGAAUCAAUACCAGCAUCACACACCCUAGACCCAGCUACCUCUGAAAAGCC